rnacentral:rRNA from 1 species
AGCGAACGCUGGCGGCAGGCCUAACACAUGCAAGUCGAGCGCUCGUAGCAAUACGAGAGCGGCAGACGGGAGAGUAACACGUGGGAACGUACCCUUUGGUUCGGAACAACACAGGGAAACUUGUGCUAAUACCGAAUAAGCCCUUACGGGGAAAGAUUUAUCGCCGAAGGAUCGGCCCGCGUCUGAUUAGCUAGUUGGUGGGGUAAUGGCUCACCAAGGCGACGAUCAGUAGCUGGCUGAGAGGAUGACCAGCCUCAUUGGGACUGAGACACGGCCCAAACUCCUACGGGAGGCAGCAGUGGGGAAUAUUGGACAAUGGGCGCAAGCCUGAUCCAGCCAUGCCGCGUGGAUGAUGAAGGCCUUAGGGUUGUAAAGUCCUUUUAACGGGG